GAUGAACGCUGGCGGCGUGCCUAAUACAUGCAAGUCGAGCGAACAGACGAGGAGCUUGCUCCUCUGACGUUAGCGGCGGACGGGUGAGUAACACGUGGAUAACCUACCUAUCAGACUGGGAUCACUUCGGGAAACCGGAGCUAAUACCGGAUAAUAUCUUGAACCGCAUGGUUCAAUAGUGAAAGACGGUUUUGCUGUCACUUAUAGAUGGAUCCGCGCCGCAUUAGCUAGUUGGUAAGGUAACGGCUUACCAAGGCAACGAUGCGUAGCCGACCUGAGAGAGUGAUCGGCCACACUGGAACUGAGACACGGUCCAGACUCCUACGGGAGGCAGCAGUAGGGAAUCUUCCGCAAUGGGCGAAAGCCUGACGGAGCAACGCCGCGUGAGUGAUGAAGGUCUUCGGAUCGUAAAACUCUGUUAUUAGGGAAGAACAAAUGUGUAAGUAACUAUGCACGUCUUGACGGUACCUAAUCAGAAAGCCACGGCUAACUACGUG
rnacentral:rRNA from 1 species